rnacentral:tRNA from 1 species
AGUAACGCAGUGAAUCACACUCAGUUUCGACCUGACCCCAGGGUAACUCCCGUUACUA